rnacentral:rRNA from 1 species
UACAGAGGGUGCGAGCGUUAGUCGGAAUUACUGGGCGUAAAGCGUGCGUAGACGGUAGCGUAAGUCAGAUGUGAAAGCCCCGGGCUCAACCUGGGAAUUGCAUUUGAGACUGCUCUGCUCGGGUGCGGAAGAGGGAAGCGGAAUUUCCGGUGUAGCGGUGAAAUGCGUAGAUAUCGGAAGGAACACCAGUGGCGAAAGCGGCUUCCUGGUCCGACACCGACGUUCAGGCACGAAAGCGUGGGGAGCAAACAGG